GACGUAGGGGGCGAGCGUUAUCCGGAUUUACUGGGCGUAAAGGGUCCGCAGGCGGGUGUCCAAGUUCCAGCUGACAGUCCUCGGCUUAACCGGGGAAGGCGUUGGAAAACUGGUCACCUUGAGACAGCGAGAGGCAGAGGGAAUUCCGUGUGGAGCAGUGAAAUGCGUAGAGAUGCGGAAGAACACCAGAGGCGAAGGCGCUCUGCUGGCGCUGAUCUGACGCUGAGGGACGAAAGCUAGGGGAG
rnacentral:rRNA from 1 species